CUCAUACAAAAGUGGGCCCUAAGUAGCCUACUCAGCUCUGUCUUGUAGGAGAUGUUCAGUGGGCAAGGGAGUGAAGUCAGAGGCAGCUUUCCUCCUUGAUCCCCUGGACUGUUCCUCUCCCCCCAACCCUUUCCCACUCCCUGAAACUACCAGGUAGCUUUCGUUCAAAUAGAAAUCGACAUUGUUUAUCUAUAAAUAUCUUCAAUAGCAUUCAAACUAAGCAGGUUUUUAAAAAAUCAACAUCAGCUAGGAUUCUAGCAUUGAAAGGAGAGCCUCUUUCCAUUAGGGGUCUUCGAAAAGAUUCACAUGAGAAUGAUGUUUUCCAUCCUCCCCCAGCUCCCACCCCCACCCCAGAGCAGAGGCAUUGAGUAGAGAUGUGCCUGCCCCACAGAAACGGAGAUUCUGUUUCACUAGACUUAGGAAAGGUGGAGAGUUUUAAAUCUUGGAAUUAGCUACAAAUGAGUAAUAUAGCAUUAGCAUGAGCUGGCCAUAACGUCCCUCCUAAGACACAUCCCUCUUGUUUGGUUAUUCUGCUUUUGGAGCUUCAGCUGAACGUCCCCUGAACUUCAGCUGAACUCUCUCCUGGUUAGAGAUAGCCAUGUUGUGGAGCGGUGCUCCUUACAUUUUAAUGUGCAGGCGGACUACCUGCGAUUUAGAUAGAAUGCAGAUUCAGCAGUUCUGGAGAAGGCCUAAGACUCUGCAUUGCUAACAAGCUCCCAGGUAAUGCAAUUGCUGCUGGUGCCCAGAACAUGCUCUGAAGAGGAAGGGCGUGGUGGAUUUACCCCAAACGUCAAAGAGCCAUGAGACAUGGAUUCAGUCCAAGUUCUAUAUGAUUCUGUGAACGUCUCAUUAAAAUUCUGACUUUUUGUCUGUAAAGUGACCAGUAGUAGUGUCUGCCCCUAAGCAUUGUUUUAAGAGUUCAAUGAGGUAACCAGUUAAGCACUUUAUAAGUCUUUAUCAACUUAUUGGUUGACGAUCUUGAGCCUUACUUGGCUGCUCCGCCAAGUGUGUGUUGGAUAACGGUGGGCUUCUUACAGCAGAAUGAAGAGGAUGAUGGGGAUUUCUCAGAUUCUCAGUGCCUGACUGUCCUUGAGUCUGAGUGGAGGGAAAGCAAAAGUUAAAACUGAUUCUGUUGAUACCACUAAGGGCUGGUUGAGACCCCAGUGCUUAGGAGAUGUAGCAGUUAGCUGUGUCCCCAUGCAUUUCUGAAUAAAAGACAAGAAUACAUAUUUCCCUUUUGAUUUUUUUUCUUAUCAAAGAGAAAGGAUGGGAAACAGAAAAUAUUUAUUUAACUGAAGUGUUAGAAUCAAUGAAUUUGCUGUACAGUUGGAGCAAUUCUCUCCUAGGAUUAAAAGUGAUAACUCACGUCAAAGGCCUUUGAAAUCUCCAGUGCUUAUACAGUUCUAAGGCUUUAUUAUUGUAGAAUGUCAUUGUUGAAAAAGACUUCUUUGACCACAUGCUGAUCAUGUUGAACUAGUAAAAGUCUUAUAAUUCAUCUAAAUAAACAUGGUUUGCCUAAGUCCUGGCUGGUAAAGCUGAAUUACAGCCAUGUUUAAGUGCCACGAUUGGAGAGAAAGAGCUUAGAUAAAGGUCAAACAAGAAUCACAUUCCCUUGAACAGUCUUUAAAUUUCUAGAGCAAAUUCCUAUCAAGCCCCUUUCGAUAUUUGUAAGUUUUUCUCCAAAUCUUUUUUUUUUUACUUGGGUUU
rnacentral:lncRNA from 1 species